AAGUAUGCAGACAUUUGCGCAUCUCCAGUCAGAACAGGACCUGCGCAAACUUUUUCGCAUUUUCCGGCUGGUGCCCGCUUCACUUUCAUUGUUGUUUUCAUUACUAAACGAUAAUAACUUUGAACAUGUGUGCAUUUCUAACAAAAAACCACACAUACAAACAGUAUUGAACAUUAUUUGCCAAUAUCAUAACUGGAGCUGGACAUCUUUCAAGCUGAAUAUUGAGGCCAGAUUUUGUAUGCCAGCGUACACUCCUUAACAGUACUGGAUAAAAACACAGCAAGAAAACACUUGCUUGAAGUGUGUAGGACUGCUGUACCAAUUGUCCACAUUCAAAGUGUGUCCCUUGCCGAGAUGAGGAGCCAGCAUGGUCAUCACCGUGGAACCGGACACCUCAAGCCCCUCAUAAUGUUGGAUAUCAGUGGUUGAUCCUGUGUAGACUAUAAUGUCCUGGACAAAUCCUGUCUUCACGUCGCACAUAACAAAGCACUUGACCCCAAACCUGUGCCUUUUGGGUGGAAUAUAUUGACGGAACGCCUGCCUACCCUUCCAUAACAUCAGGAACUCAUCAAUGCAUAGGUCCUUGUAUGGCACAAAUACCCUACCAAAUGCUAAUGUCAAGCUGGUCCAAGGCAUAGCGGUUGGUCUCCUCUAGUAUGUCUCCCACCAGCUCUGCUGUCAGAAACAGCUUGAAGCACUCUGCCUCAGAGGGAAAUGGCAAGGGGCUUUGCA